rnacentral:rRNA from 1 species
CCUACGGGGGGCAGCAGUGGGGAAUUUUCCGCAAUGGGCGAAAGCCUGACGGAGCAAGACCGCGUGAGGGAGGAAGGCCUACUGGUUGUAAACCUCUUUUGAUAGGGAAGAACACAAUGACGGUACCUAUCGAAUCAGCCUCGGCUAACUCCGUGCCAGCAGCCGCGGUAAUACGGAGGAGGCAAGCGUUAUCCGGAAUUAUUGGGCGUAAAGCGUCCGUAGGUGGUUUAUCAAGUCAGUUGUUAAAGCGUGGAGCUUAACUCCAUAAGGGCAAU